AAGGGAAGGGAGAAGAAAUGUGUGGGAAAUAUCAGAAAGGGAUACAGAACAUGAAGACUCCUAACUCUGGGAAACGAGCUAGGGGUGGUGGAAUGGGAGUAGGGCGGGGGGUGGGGGUGAAUGGGCGACAGGCACUGAGGGGGACACUUGACGGGAUGAGCACUGGGUGUUAUUCUGUAUGUUGGUAAAUUGAACACCAAUAAAAAAUUAUUUUAUUAAAAAAAAAAGGCAGACUCUCAACCCCUGAGCCACCUAGGUGCCCCUCUUAGCCCAUUUUCUUUCGUCUACAUGUUAUGAUGCUAGAUUCUUGCUGCUGUUGUAAUUCUAGGUGGCUGUAAGGAUGCUCCAGGGAUUUCUGUACCAAUUCUGAAUUCAAUAAGUUGGAAAAUAAUUCUUUAAAUGAGUAGAUAAAUAUACAAAUAAUAACAUCCUUCCAAACCCAAGAAUAUUAGGUUGCAAAUUUUUAAUACUAGGCUUGAUCUUUUACUGGCAAUGACCUAAAUCCGGAAAAUAUAUCCUGUCUAAACUUUCUGCAACCAACUAACAACUACAAAAGACAGUCUAAAUCAUGAUGAUUUUCUUUUUCUUUUUUUAAGAUUUUAUUUAUUUAUACAUGAGAGACACAGAAAGAGAGAAAGAGAGGCAGAGACAUAGGCAGAGGGAGAAGCAGACUCCCUCCGGGACUCGAUCUGCAGACUCCAGGAUCACAACCUGAGCCAAAGGCAGACACUCAACCACUGAGCCACCCAGGCGUCCCAAUCAUGAUGAUUUUCAAGUUCCCUGAGGCUGUCCACACAUUGAGACUGAGACAGCCUCCUCUGCUUCAGGAGGAAGGACAAGAUCCAAACAAGAACAAAGGAAUGUGCCUUGUGCCUUCGAAAAAUGCCAUUGAAGCCCUUUUCAGAGACAACAGUUGCAAAAAGGUAAAACUAAACUUUUCUAGGUGAAAAGGGGAUCUGCAAAUCUAGUGAGGCCAGACUUCUUGGGGUCUAGGUUUAUAAACUGAAUCAUAGGUAAUGAAGAUGGGGAUAAAAUACGUUAACCUCCCUUGCUCAAAGGAAGACGUGCAAACCAUUCCUGGCCUGGAAAGGAUGUAGAAGAGAUUCAAGACCCAGUGCCUGACCCACCCUCAUGU
rnacentral:lncRNA from 1 species